AUUGAACGCUGGCGGCAUGCCUUACACAUGCAAGUCGAACGGUAACGCGGGGCAACCUGGCGACGAGUGGCGAACGGGUGAGUAAUACAUCGGAACGUGCCCAGUAGUGGGGGAUAGCCCGGCGAAAGCCGGAUUAAUACCGCAUACGACCUACGGGUGAAAGCGGGGGACCGCAAGGCCUCGCGCUAUUGGAGCGGCCGAUGUCAGAUUAGGUAGUUGGUGGGGUAAAGGCCUACCAAGCCUACGAUCUGUAGCUGGUCUGAGAGGACGACCAGCCACACUGGGACUGAGACACGGCCCAGACUCCUACGGGAGGCAGCAGUGGGGAAUUCUGGACAAUGGGCGAAAGCCUGAUCCAGCCAUGCCGCGUGCGGGAAGAAGGCCU
rnacentral:rRNA from 1 species